rnacentral:rRNA from 1 species
GACGAAGGUGGGCGACCGUUGUUCGGAAUCACUGGGCAUAAAGAGCUCGUAGGCGGUGAGAAAAGUAGGGUGUGAAAUCCCUCGGCCCAACCGAGGAACUGCGCUCUAAACUGUCUUGCUUGAGGACCGAAGGGGACCACGGAAUUCCUGGUGGAGCGGUGAAAUGCGUUGAUAUCAGGAGGAACACCGGCGGCGAAGGCGGUGGUCUGGUCGGUUUCUGACGCUGAGGAGCGAAAGCUAGGGGAGCAAACGGGAUU